UCAUAUGGUAUAAUAUACUAAAUUUUGAAAUGAAAUAAUACAAUAAAUAUAGUUAUAACAAGUUAUUAAAUUUUACAAAAUGUUAGCUAAAAAAUAAAAUAUAUAUAUUAUAUUUUUAUUUCAAAAUUGAUGGUGGAAGGUUGGCACAUUGUAACUAUCUAGUGGGUCAAAGGGCACAAGCGGCAUAGUAUAUGUGGUCAGCAAUUCAAGGAGGGAUGGCCUGAUAGGGGUACGUCUAUUAAUUUUUCUUAAAUCGGUGAUUGUGUGUGAGCCUAUUUCUCCCAUUUUCCCCCAGCUGACAGCGUGGCACAAGGAUGAUCAAGUGUUGUGCUAUUUCAUCGAAGCAGCAUCCAAACAACCAAUCAAACAGGAAGGAAGAAAGAAAUUCAGUUGUUGACAAAGCUGAGGUGAAUAACGCGAGGGUUUAGUUUGAGCCGUAUCCUGAUUUCUGGACGCUGAGGCAUGUUGUGCGGGGCUUUAAGCAUUGUUGAAAGCUAUGCGAUUUUCGAAUAUGAUGACCGUUUCAAGUUUUGGGCUCACAAACGAAAAUUGUAUAUAUCGAAGUUGCGUUUGAGGCUCUCCGUUUUCUCUGGCGAAUAUCAUCAAGGUUGAUAGAAAAUGGGCGGAAUCCAUGCGUGAAAGUUCACGCUUUGAUAACUAACCAUCUUUACGACGAA
rnacentral:sRNA from 1 species